AGAGAAGAGAAAUUAAGGUAGAAAGAAGGAAAGAGCUACGAUUUUGGGAGGAGAAAAAGGCAGCCCAAAACGUUACCAAACAGUCCCUAAGUUUCAGCUGCGCUAAAGGAAAUUCCGAGGCAAGUUUUGGCGAGUUUUGGUGAAUUUCGGGAAAGGUUCAAGAGACGACGAGGCGAGCAUAGUUAAGAGUAAUCCGUAAGAGGUACGUAAAGCGAACCUUUCUUUCUUUUGGCAUGUUUUUGACAUAAGUAUGUAAAGCAUAUUCUUUCGAUUUUCAUGUUUUGACAUAAGUAUGUAAAGCUAAUAUUUGUUUUGGUAUGGUAUUUAUGAAACAAAAAUAUGACUUUUAUAUAAUUUCAAAGAGGUUCCUAUU